rnacentral:misc_RNA from 1 species
AUAUAUUGCGAAAUUUCUCCCUUCCUUAGCGUGUCUAAAGCGUUUAAUCGCGGUGUACAUCGUAAGUCGUUCGCAAGGAUUUUGCAACGAAUUCUAGCGACUGCCAUUUGUCGUUCACGCGCUGUUGCAGAACCGCUCCUAUCGCGUCAUCGGACGCAUCUACCGCGAGGUCAACGGGCGCCCGUGGUACCGGAUGCGUCAACAUCGUGGCAUCAGCGAGGGCACGUUUCGACUCGCGGAAGGGGUUUUCAGUUUACUCCGACCACUCGAUGGGCGCGUUGCCCUUUUUUACAGCUUUUAAUAUGUAGCCACUUUCAUGAAACGCUGUUUGUUCGGAAAGGUUUCUGGGUAGAAAAUGAAGUAAGAUAAUGGAAGGUCAUUCGAAAUGCGAUGUAUGCGUUUCAAACUCGUGAUAAGUUGAGCGUCAUUGUUCAAAGAAAUCAAGAUGUGAAAAAUAGGUUAUAGAAAGAAACAUAUUGAGUUUACAGAAAAAUAUUUCAAUUGAUUAUGCUUUAAUAAAAAUUAUAAAAUUCUGGUAUAAGGACGUAGGUACAGCUGCGGAGUGGGGAUAAUGACUUAAAUAAUAAUGCUGCUUAAUGACUUAAAUAAUAAAAUAAUAAUAAUAAAUAAUAAUAAUAAUAACUGCUAGGACCUACAUUAUCUCAGCAGUAGUUUUUUAAAUUAACGUAGAACGAUGAUUUUUUGUUAAAUCUAAG